AUACCGCAUACGAUCUGAGGAUGAAAGCGGGGGACCUUCGGGCCUCGCGCGAUUGGAGCGGCCGAUGGCAGAUUAGGUAGUUGGUGGGAUAAAAGCUUACCAAGCCGACGAUCUGUAGCUGGUCUGAGAGGACGACCAGCCACACUGGGACUGAGACACGGCCCAGACUCCUACGGGAGGCAGCGGUGGGGAAUUUUGGACAAUGGGCCAAAGCCUGAUCCAGCAAUGCCGCGUGCAGGAUGAAGGCCUUCGGGUUGUAAACUGCUUUUGUACGGAACGAAAAAGCUUCUCCUAAUACGAGAGGCUUUUGGACGUGUACGGUAAGAAUAAGCACCGGCUAACUACGUGCCAGGCGCCGCGGUAAUACGUAGGGUGCGAGCGUUAAUCGGAAUUACUGGGCGUAAAGCGUGCGCAGGCGGUUAUGUAAGACAGAUGUGAAAUCCCCGGGCUCAACCUGGGAACUGCAUUUGUGACUGCAUGGCUAAGAGUACGGGAGAGGAGGAUGGAAUUCCGCGUGUAGCAGUGAAAAUGCUUAGAUAUGCGGAGGAACACCGAUGGCGAAGGCAAUCCCCCUGGACCUGUACUGACGCUCAUGCACGAAAAACGUGGGGGAGCAAACAGGAUUUAGAUACCCUGUAGUCCACGCCCUAACGAUGUCAACUGGUUGUUGGGGAAUUAGUUUUCUCAGUAACGAAGCUAACGCAUGAAGUUGACCGGCCUGGGGAGUACGGCCGUCAAGGUUGAC
rnacentral:rRNA from 1 species